AUUGAACGCUGGCGGCGGGCCUAACACAUGCAAGUCGAGCGAGCGGCGGACGGUUGAGUAAUGUAUGGGAACUGCCCGUUAGCGGGGGAUAACUACUGGAAACGGUGGCGAAUCACGCAUACUGGCGGAUAACGCAUAUGGUAUUAGCUAGUAGGGAAGGUAAUGGCUUACCUAGUCGACGAUCCCUAGCUGGUCUGAGAGGAUGAUCAGCCACACUGGGACUGAGACACGGCCCAGACUCCUACGGAGGCAGCAGUGGGGAAUCUUGCACAAUGGGCGAAAGUCUGAUGCAGCAAUGCCGCGUGUAUGAAGAAGGUCCUAGGGUUGUAAAGUACUUUUAGUCGGGAGGCGGUAUCGACAGAAGAAGCAACGGCUAACUCCGUGCCAGCAGCCGCGGUAAUAC
rnacentral:rRNA from 1 species